UUGACCAAUCAGGACUCCACAGUCCAACUUCUCAAAAUGAGGCUCCCUGCUCAGCUCCUGGGGCUGCUGAUGCUCUGGGUCCCUGGAUCCAGAGGGGAGAUUGUGAUGACCCAGACUCCACUCUCCCUGCCGGUCACCCCUGGGGAGCCGGCAUCCAUCUCCUGCAGGUCUAGUCAGAGCCUCCUGCAUACCGAUGGAAAGACCUAUUUGAAUUGGUACCUGCAGAAGCCAGGGCAGUCUCCACAGCUCCUGAUCUAUUUGGUUUCCAACCGGUUCUCUGGGGUCCCAGAUAGGUUCAUUGGCAGUGGGUCAGGGACAGAUUUCACGCUGAAAAUCAGCAGGGUGGAGGCUGAGGAUGUUGGGGUUUAUUACUGCAUGCAAGAUCUACAACUUCCGCUCACUUUCGGCGCAGGCACCAAGCUGGAGAUCAAACGAGCUCAGGCUCAGCCAUCUGCCUACAUCUUCCAGCCAUCUCAGGAGCAGUUGCGGUCUGGAAGUGCCACUCUCGUGUGCAUGAUAAACGGCUUCUACCCCAGUAAUAUCGACGUCAAGUGGAGGUUGGAUGGUGUUCUCCGAACGGAUGAUGUCCAGAACAGUCUCUCGGAGCAGGACAGCAAUGACAGCACUUACAGCCUCAGCAGCACCCUGACGCUGCCCUCUACAGAGUACAACCAGUACAAUACCUUUACCUGCGAGGUCACUCAUCAGAGCCUGAGCUCACCCCUCACCAAGAGCUUCAAUAAGCAAGAGUGUUAGAGGGACAGGCUUCCAGUCCCAGCCUGGGUCCCUCCCCUCCUUAGGCCGUGGGCCCUUUUCCCACAAGUGAUCUACCCCUCGUGCACUCCUCCAGCCCCUCUCCCUGCCUCAUCCCCCCUACUCCUUGGCUUCAAUCAUGCCAAUACUUGGGGGGAAAAAUGAAUAAAUAAAGUGAAUCUCUGCACCUGUGA